UCGAACGAUGAACCCGCUUGCGGGGGAUUAGUGGCGAACGGGUGAGUAACACGUGAGUAACCUGCCCUUAACUCUGGGAUAAGCCUUGGAAACGGGGUCUAAUACUGGAUAUUGACUUUACCUCGCAUGGGGUUUUGUUGAAAGAUUUAUUGGUUUUGGAUGGACUCGCGGCCUAUCAGCUUGUUGGUGAGGUAAUGGCUCACCAAGGCGACGACGGGUAGCCGGCCUGAGAGGGUGACCGGCCACACUGGGACUGAGACACGGCCCAGACUCCUACGGGAGGCAGCAGUGGGGAAUAUUGCACAAUGGGCGAAAGCCUGAUGCAGCGACGCCGCGUGAGGGAUGACGGCCUUCGGGUUGUAAACCUCUUUCAGUAGGGAACAAGGCC
rnacentral:rRNA from 1 species